CGGUGACUUGGUCCACGAUGGGAAACAUGUGGCUUUCAAAAUGGCUGCCAGCUGCCUUCCACUAUCUUCUCCACCGUUUCUAUACUCUUCCUCAAAUACCAUCAGCUGCUUUCUGUUUCUUUUUCCCUUUGUCGCCAUUUCCUCUCUUGAUUCUUGCUCCUCCAACUUCGGCGCCUCCCAACAACUACUGGAACCAUGCCGCUCUUUACAACCUCUCAUCUUCCCCAUUCUCUCAAUCUUUCAUCUUCCCCGUUUUCCCUUUUCUCUCAUCUUCAUUCACAACUAACACCGCCAUCUCCACUAUCCUGUCGAAUUCUACCAAUGACAGCAAUCCAAUACCCACUGACUCUACUUCCUUUUUCGAUUAUACCAUAAACACCGACUUCUUGAAGCGGGGAUUGUUGGUCGGUGGGUCGCUGGAUUUGGGAGUGCCGGAUGAUUCUCCAUCUGUUUAUAACUUCUUCCAUAACUUUGAUUUUUUUAAUUAAAGGCAACAGCGUGGGUGAAUUUUGGGGACCAUGAUGAACUUCGGUAUUCUCCUUCGUUGGAUUUCAACCAGGAUCAAAAACUUAGGGUUCAAUCUAACUAUUUGAGGUAGGCUAUUUCUAAAUGGCUUCUCUUACCUUUCAUUUAAUCAAUAGAAUUUAUACAAAAUUACGAUAUAAAUUAUUACUUCCUGGAAAUAUGGUUAUCGAUUGCUUUCAUAAAUUUUUUAUGGUUUAUCAUGCCAUUAUUGGUCUUGGAAUCCAUCUAACGAUGGAUUAUUCAAGGUAGUAGUACUUGUCAUUUGCCAUUGCACUAACCAUUUUCUUUUGCACAUUUGUUUCCCAAAAUGACCUUAUGUUCAUGGUGCUCAACGAAAAAAAUAUGCAUUUGUUGCAAAAUGUGUAAAUAUUCAAAUUCAUUAAAAACUCCAUAGUCCUAACCCAUACGAAGGUAACUGUUGUUAAUCAGGUUAGCAUUUUGACUUUUAAUAUAACAUAAGCACGCUUAAUCUUUGAUUUUAGUAACUCUUCUUUGGCAACAAAAAUAGACCACUAGCGUUACAGUACUCUAUAAAUUUUGAACAGGACACUGAGUGUGGUGGUGAUUAUAUCAAACUUAUGUCUGGAUACGUUCUCAACUGAUAUGGUGGUGGUGGUUACACUAUUUAUGACUUAUUGGCUUUUGAUACGUUCUCAACCAAUUUGUAGCCUUCUCUACAACAAAGGAUAAAAGGAUUUUAAGAGAAAUUGGAGGUGUCUUUUAAGGAAAUUCAAUCUUCGACCUUUCAGGGGAUCAAAUUCAUUUCUGAAAUGUAUUUCAAAAAGCAAUGAAACAAUAACCCUAAAAUGGUACAUGGCACAAAACCAUCUGAAUGGGGAACUGCCAAAGCUUAUAUACCGGAAUAAAUUUUUAGAAAAUUUGUAAGUUUCCAAGCCUCAUUUCUAUUAUCUAUAGAUUAUUAUUUAAUAUAUUUUGACCAAAUUAUAUGAUUCUUUUGACUAAGAGGAUUGAGAGGCAACAAUUUGGUUCGAAAUUUGUUGCAAGAUAUCUGUCAACUAACUCACACAAUUCCUUCAAAUAAUGGCAAUUAUACUUGCUUGCAAGUAUUGAACCAAAAAUAGAAAACGAAGUUGUUGAGCUCUUAUGCGGAAGAGAUUUUUCAUCAGAUGAACCAUUUCUUAUAUCCUGGUGGCAUACCGGUAAAACAUACAAAAUGGAGAGAGAGAUGAGAAAUAAGGGUGAAGACUUACCUGCUAAGGCAGAGGAUGAAAUGCUCAUGUUGAUGGGUUGCAGAAAAAUUUAAAGGGUUAAGUUAUGUCUCCAUGUAUAUCCAAGGCUGAGAAAGAAUUUGUAGCAUUAGAAAACUAUGUGGGGAAUUCUCCUGUCUCCAUGUAUAUCCACAUUGGAGGACAAUUUCCAAAUAAACUCAAUGGGUGUGCGAUGGACUUCGUGAGGCCGACGCUAACCAUCACCAAGGUGGUUGAAGCUAACUCUUACCCAAAUUGCCUUCUCAAGAACCUACAUAGGAUGCCAUCUGUAGCAAUGCAGAAAACAACACAUAUUUUCAAGGGAAAGAUGAUAUAGGUGUGAUACCUGGUGAUUGUCUAGGCUGUGGAAAAUAUCGUGUAUGGGGAAAACCUUAAGUUCUUGGUCUUAGAACCAGAUUGAAAAUGUUAUUUUCUAUCCACAGCCAAAAACACCCAAACCAGCAUGUGAGUUUACCAUCCUUUUUCCAAUUUGACAAACCUACUUCCAACUUUCUAACAAAAACAAUAGUAAUAAUAAUAAUAAUCAAAACUUUGAUGGUUUUGGUUGGGCUAAUAGUUGAAUUUCUUACCUAAUGAAGUUUAGAAUUAAAAUGCAACAAAUGUCAUUCUACUUCCUGUGAGUUGUUGUACUUUUCAUUUCCGUGCAACAACAGUUACAGUGACUUUUCAAAGAUCCAUCCAAUAGUCACGUCUUAAUUGGUUGUAAUAAAAUUUUCUUAUUUGUAUUUUUUGAGCAAAUAUUGGUGAUCCGCUUUUAGCUUUUUCAAUAGGCACGUCUUAAUUGGUUGUAAUAAAAUUAAAUGUGCGUGCCCACUAAAGGAUCCGGGCACCAAAAACGUAAUUUUUAGAAGGUGAUCUUGGAAAUGUUCGGUCUGGGGAACAUAAGUAGUUUUAUUGUGUUAAAGUGUUUGUCAACGUAGUUUUUUUUGGUGAAAAAUAGUGAUUUUAACAGUUUUUGUCCAAACUGCUCAUACAUAUUGUCUUUUUGAUAAAAAAAAACUAAUAAUUUUAACAGUUUUGACCAAAACCACUACAUACUGUUCUUUUAGUAAAAAAAUCGUGAAUUUAACAAUUUUUUUGUCGAAAAUGCCCUUGCAUGCUGUUCGCUAUCUAUCACUACAACAUAUACAUAACUGAUAAACAAAAAUGUAAAACUCUGAUCUUAACCGAACCCUGCGGAGCGGGGUUUCACAUCUAGUUCCAAUUAACAAAGCGUUGAUCAGUGGCCUUAUUAACUAGUGGGUUUAUAUUUUGUUUUCUUGUUAAAACCCGGUCUAUCUUUCGAUUUAACAAUUGUGAGCCCCAUGAAUCAAUUGCAGCCCAAUUGUCAUUUUUAAGCCCAUUGGAAGGGUAACCUAGAUAACCCCAUUCUAAAUGGUUGUUAAACGGAGUCGUUUUCUCCCAAGAGCUCUGUUUGGACUCCAUCAUCGUUCCCCCGUUCUUUUCAUCAAUUCCCGGCAGCAGGGGUGGUGGUGGUGGUGAUGGCGGCGACAAUGGUGACGGAGGCGGCGGUCUACUAAUUGGAAUCAUCACUUGCUUUGCUGCUUCCUUUUUUUCAAUUCCAAAUUUAAUCUCCGUGAAAUACUUCUCAUAUUCUCUCGGUUGUUCCAUUCCUACAAUCCAAGUAUUUAGAUACUUUCCGUUAAGGUUGAGGGUGGAUUGGAUUGUAAACUUCUCUUUUAUUCCGCCUUGAUUCGAGACUAAGCCCAUUGGCUUUCCAUAUUUUUCUUCUUCAACGGUCGUUAGUGGCAGUGGUGAUGGUAGGCACGACGUUAGGCUUGGCGGUAGAGUCUGAGGGGUUGUUUUGGAUUCUGAUUCUGACUCAUAAAUCCCCAAAAAUACUUCAUCUCCAUCAGGUGGUGAUAUUUCGUUGCUUUCACGAUCUAUUUCAUCCAAAAUCAUUGGAGAUGCCACCGAAGGCAAACCCAAUGAUGCGACCUGAACGACACGGGAAGUAGGAUGAGAAUGGAAACCGCUAACUAUGCCAGAUGAAUCCCUAGAAGCAUCAUCAACCACCGAAUUUGGUAAUGUCCCAGUCGGAUUGGAAACAAUGCUAAUAUCUGAGAAAAACUCUGGAUCCUGUUGCUUCAUCCAAUCAAGCAGUACUUCGCCCGUUCUGAGUCCAUGGCGGUUCUGAUUGAGGCCAUAGAUGUCCUGAUUUCCUGUAUGUCUUCGUGAAUCAUUGCUAUUUGCUUAUCAUGAUGAUCCAGAAGCUGAGAGACAGAUCUAGUUUCCAGCACUGGUUGCACCAUUGUUACUCAACUCCGGCAAGUCAAGGCAGGUCGGACCAAUGAUGAGAAUUAGAAAUCAAUAGAUAAUGAAACUAAAGAGAAACAUGAAGAAUCAGAGAAGAAGAAGAUGAUAUCAUUAAAUCUAAUGAAAUGAAUUACAAACUAUAUUGAAUGAAGCAAGAACCUCAAACAAUCCCGGGGAAUCUCCCUCUCUCACUAGCUAAAUGAUAAGAGCCAAGAACAUUGAACAAUACUAUCAACAUCCCCAAAAUGAAAUUACUCUUCCCUCUUUAUUCUACUCUCUCUCACUCUCUCUCUCUCUCUCUCUCUCUCUCUCUCUCUCUCCCCCCCCCCCUAACUGACUUUCUAGCCACUUUCCAUUUUUGCCCUUCUUCCCCUUCUAGAAUGCACAUGUAAUAUUCCUAGUUUAUUUAUAUCAAGGCCCAACCAUUCUGAAUCUGUAUCACAUACAUACAUACUUACAAACACACACGUAGGAGGCACAAGGGUUUCACUAUUGUGUUGGUUAAUGCCCAACCACCUUCAAGAAGGCAAAGAAGUAAACUUCAUAACCUUUUUCAUUAUCAGUAGAAGUGGACGUGACGCAUCGAGACAAGAAAAAUACAGGUACAAAUCUGUUUAUCUACAUGCCUUUCAAUCUCAUAGCAUUAGAGCAUUUGGUUCAAGUACCACAGUGGUCGACGGGCACAAUCUCAAUCUCAUUCUUCGGUUCAAUCAAAUGUAAGAAUGAAGACGGAUAAAACAUGGACAUAUCCAACUCUAUCCGUUGAUGAUAAGAGAAAAAAUGCGUACACAUUUUUUUUUGUCAAAAAGUCAUUCGUGGGGAUGAUAGUUAAGAAACUUUUUUUGUUGUUAUUAGUGAUGAGAUAACAACAGGCGCAAACGUAUACGACAUACAAGUUAUCCUUUUUCCGUAGACAUUAUAUUAAACAUGAGACAUGGAUUACAAUUCUCAUUUAUUGUUUAACUUUCAAUAAAACACCUUAGUUGUCUCACUCUCAACACAUAAGAUAAGAAAUCCAAUAUUGACUACAUACACCGUUUAUAUAGUUCAUAUUAUACCCAAUGAUGACCUUUAUAACUGCCUAGUCAAAGAGCAGCGUUUAAUCAUAUCAAAAUACGACACUCACUACAAUUAAGUCUCCACUAUGUAUCUCAGAUCGAAUAAUACAAAGAUACUAUGUUUGUUCAAGAAUCAGUUAUGACAAUGACCGAUGAAGUGAUCUUGAAGCGAGUCGAGUCUAAUUUUUAUUCUCUAACAAGUACCUAUGAACUUGGUUGCAACACUUUUCCACUUUCAUUAUAUGAUAUUCAACCAAUCCAAUUCAUAUUAUUCUUAUUUCAUGGUUGUUCCCAUGAUUAUGACCAACUAUGGACUUUCUAGAAUAACUAGAAUAUUCAAGGAUUAAACAUGCUAAUAUAGAACACAAAUAUUAGUUAAAAGAUCAUAUCCCACACAUCUAAUUUAAUAUGAUAGUUGUUUCUUACAUUGUUCAAACAUCCAAAUGCUAAAUUCAAAUAAAAUCCAAUCACUAGAGUAAUGAAGUCUUAUAGCUCUAGCAUGAUUAUCAUGCUUAGCUUGUGGAAAGGGCUUCGUGAAUGGGUUCGCCAAAUCUUGAUUUGUGUGCCUUUGCGAAUACUAAUAUCUAUGGAGAAUGUGCAUGGUUUUCUGAUGUGACAUUAGUUCCUUAUCUAGCGCAAUGGCACCCUGAUUAUCAUAAAAGAUUUCUACGUGAUCCUAAACGGAAACGACAACCCCUAGAUCUUUAAUGAAUUUCUUAAUCCAAGCAACUUCUCGUGCAACUUCAGAAAAACAAUGUAUUUUGACUAUGUAGUUGAUUGUGCGACCAUGCUUUGCUUGGAACUUUUCCAUGAAACAACACCUCCUAUCAUAAUGAAGAGAUACCUUGAUUGUGAUCGAGAAUUGGCUCGAUAUGCUAAGAAGCUAGCAUCAAUUUAACACUUUACACUAAGAUAUUCUUCCAAACCCCCAUAGACAAGUCACAUUUUUUGGUUCUUCGCAAGUUCUUUAGAAUGUUCUUUACAACAAUCCAAUGAUUUUCUCUUGGAUUUUGUUGGUACCUGCUAGUCAUGCUCAAGGCAUAUGACACAUCUUGUACAUAACAUGUGAUACAUGAUGGAUUCAAUUGUAGAAUCAUAUGGAAGAUCAUUCAUUCUUUCUAGUUUAACCUUUGUGCUAAGGCAUUGAGACAUGGUCAAAAUUGUGCUAUAUGGUAUUGACAAUAAUGUAUUUUGACUUUGUAGUGGAUUGUACGACCAUGCUUUUCUUGGAACUCUUCCAUGAAACAACAUUUCCAUUUAUAAUGAAGAAUACCCCAAUUGUGAUUGAGAAUUGUCUCAAUCAGUGUAGAAGCUAACAUCAGUGUAACACUUUACACGAAGGUCCUUUUCCAAACCCCCAUAGAUAAUGCACAUUUCUUUGCUUCUUUGUAAGUAAUUUAGAAUGUUCUUUACACCAAUCCAAAAUUUCUCCUCGAUUUUGUUGGUACCUACUAGUCAUGGUCAAGGCAUAUGACACAUCUUGUACAUAACAUGUCAUACAUAUUGUAACAUCUAAAAAAUCAUAGAAAUUUAAAUUUUUCAAAAACAAGCCAUUUCAUCUAUAAAGUGUUUACAAAAUCAUUGUUUCAAGAGUAUAAUCAUAAUUAGAGUUGUCCGAAGACCGAAUAUCAUAAAAACAGGAAGAUGUGCACGAUCACGCCUUCGCCUUACCACGGUCAUCUGAAGUACUUGAAACUGUAAGCCAAAGCUUAGUGAGUUCCCCCAAAGUACCAACACACAAACAUAUAACAACAUAUACUUGUAACAUCCGAUUCCAUGUAUGUUCUUCUUUGGUCCUUUAAGUUUGAAAAUUUUGCAAAAAUGGUCCCCUCGUACGUUGGGUGUACGUUUGGUAGGCUUAGCGUACAGGUACGCACGCUAUCGGGGAACUAAACCACGUACGCUGGGCGUACGUGGUGUAUGCAGGGCAUACGACAACCAAGACCAAACCCUAAUUUUUAGGGCAUGAGCUCUAUUUAAGAAACAUUAUGGCCUUUGGACACUCACCCUCAUCAGCCUCCACUAUUCAUUACGUCCCAUUUAACCCUAGUUCAUCCCAUUUAACCUUUUGGUGUGUUUUCAAGAAGAAGGAACUUGGAGACCAAGCAUUUGUUAGGGUCUAGCUUCUAGAUCCAGAGUCUUCAUCAACUAUUGGGAGCUUUUGAAGGUAAAAAGUGCUUACCUUGAUGAUCCAUUUGAUAGUUAGAGUUUAGGGCUUGAAAAUGAGUUUAUUUGGUCCCAUGGGUUCUUUUUGUGAGUUUGGGCAACUCCAAAAGUUAGAGGUGUUAGAUCUCAGUCCCUUUGAUGUUUUAGAUGCAUACAAAUGUCAUCUUGAUGGUUGAUAUGAGUCCAUGCAUGAAUUUAAGUCCUUAAUGUGAGCUUUGUUGGAUAAAAAUGGAUGUUGGGUUCCAUUAAGACAUGCUAAGGCAUAAAGUUGCCAACUUUAUCUCUAGAACCCCAUAGUGGUUGAGAUCUGAAAGUUGGAUUGAAUGCACGAAAUGAUUAAGCACCAAAUAGCUUAAGGUGGCAAACAGCUCAGUACGUUGAGCGUACCAAGGGGUAUGCACUGCGUAAUGGCAAGCGGUCGUGUACGCCGAGCGUAUAACGCAUACAUAGGACUGUCAAAUCGGGCAGUCAUGUCGUGUUUUUGUCUGAAACAACAUGACAUGACAAGGUUUUGGAUGACACAAACACGACACGACACGAUGUCGUGUUUUUUUUCAUUAACACGAAAACGAACUAAAUAAAACACGACACGACACAACAAAGAUAAUAUUACAUAACUAUUAAUGUAUUUCAAUCAUACUUAAAGAUAUAUAACACGACAAAAACUACAAACACAAAAAACAUGACAACCACAUGCUUAAUCGUGUCACUUUCGUGUCGUGUCGAUUUAUUAACACGAACACGACACGACAUGAAAUUGUGUUUUUUAAUCUUGACACGAACAUGACACGAACAAGAAUUUGAAUUUGAAUUUCGUUUCGUUUCGUGUAUUUUUGUGGUGUCGUGUCAUAAAUUGACACCCCUACGCGUACGCCUCUCAGUGGGCUUUUGGACUUCGGUUGGGCUUUAGACCUUUGGGACUUAGUGGGCUUUGGGCUAUGGACUGUUUAGAGUAGGGGGGACUUAAAAUUCUGUUAGUGGGCCCUAAGUUGUUUCAGUUGGGAUUUUUGGGCCUUGGGGCCCAUUAUUGUAUUUUGGACCAAGUUUGGUUAGGCCCAUUAUGGGAGGGGUAAAUGGGCCUUUAUCUUAGGAGUUUGGACUUGGGGUUUAGGCCUACUAUUAUGGUUUAUAACCUAUAUUUGAUUAGCGUAAUUUGUGUAUGUUCAGUGUGGGAUCUUCCGGUUCGGUAGCCGAGCAGUUAGUUAUUUAUCAAUGGACCAAGGUACUUCUGGUACUAAGGGGAAGGGCCCGACGUGAUGGCACAACAUUCUCUCCUCACUAUUUUCCGCACUUUUGAUAUUGUACUAUGAUGUUUGACAUUAUUUAUUAUGUGAUGGUUUUGGAUCAAUGUGAUGGUUGUAACUCUUGUUUUUAAAAGUUGGUAUCAGAGCCUUGGUUUGAGAUAUUUGGGCACACUCUCUGGUGUGUCAUAACUCAAACUGAGGAAAUGAUAAUCUUUUCAAAAGAAAAAGAAUUUGAACU